UACGUAGGGUGCGAGCGUUAAUCGGAAUUACUGGGCGUAAAGCGUGCGCAGGCGGUUCGCCAAGUCAGGUGUGAAAUCCCCGGGCUUAACCUGGGAAUUGCGCUUGAAACUAGCGGGCUUGAGUGUGGCAGAGGGGGGUGGAAUUCCACGUGUAGCAGUGAAAUGCGUAGAGAUGUGGAGGAACACCGAUGGCGAAGGCAGCCAUCUGAACCGACACUGACGCUGAGGCGCGAAAGCGUGGGGAGCAAACAGG
rnacentral:rRNA from 1 species